AUUGAACGCUGGCGGCAGGCCUAACACAUGCAAGUCGAACGAGUGGCGGACGGGUGAGUAAUGUCUGGGAAACUGCCCGAUGGAGGGGGAUAACUACUGGAAACGGUAGCUAAUACCGCAUACCAUCGGAUGUGCCCAGAUGGGAUUAGCUAGGAGGUGGGGUAACGGUUUACCUGGGCGCCGAUCCCCAGCUGGUCUGAGAGGAUGACCAGCCACACGGGAACUGAGACACGGUCCAGACUCCGACGCGAGGCAGCGGUGGGAAAUAUUGCACAAUGGGAGCAAGCGUGAUGCAGCCAUGCCGCGUGUAUGAAGAAGGCCUUCGGGGUGUAAAGUACUGUCAGCGAGGAGGCGUUACUCGCAGAAGAAGCACCGGCUAACUCCGUGCCAGCCGCCGCGGUAAUAC
rnacentral:rRNA from 1 species